rnacentral:rRNA from 1 species
UGGGGAAUUUUGCACAAUGGGGGCAACCCUGAUGCAGCGACGCCGCGUGAUUUAGACGGCCUUCGGGUUGUAAAAAUCUUUUCUAUGGGACGAAAAUGACAGUACCAUAGGCAUACGGACCGGCUAAUCACGUGCCAGCAGCCGCGGUAAUACGUAAGGUCCAAGCGUUGUCCGGAAUCAUUGGGCGUAAAGGGUACGUAGGCGGGUAAGCAAGUUAGAAGUGAAAUCCUAUAGCUCAACUAUAGUAAGCUUUUAAAACUGCUCAUCUUGAGGUAUGGAAGAGAAAGUGGAAUUCCUAGUGUAGCAGUGAAAUGCGCAGAUAUGAGGAGGAAUACCGGUGGCGAAGGCGGCUUUCUGGCCAUAACCUGACGCGGAGGUACGAAAGCGUGGGUAGCAAACAGG